rnacentral:rRNA from 1 species
AUGACAGCAGUUCCUUGCAAUCAUGCUGUUUCUGCCAUACACAAGGCUAAGCUUCAGCCAGAGGACUUUGUUCAUGAUUUCUUCAAAAAAAAGAUGUAUCUGGAAGCUUACAGUCCCAUUAUAUAUCCUGUACCUGGACCUGAUAUGUGGCCAAGGACAGACAGUAUGGACAUUGAGGCUCCAGUUUUCAAAGAACACAAGGGAAGGGCACAGACUAAGAGGAGAAAGGGCCAAUAUGAGAAGCCAGCUCCCAAAGACACCUCAAGAAUGGCCUCAAUUACCUGCUCUAAUUGCAAAAAGGUUGGCCAUAGAUACACCAACUGUAAUGUUGCUUUGAAUCCAUCACUGGCAAUGAGAAAGAACAGGCAUGAGCUAACCAAUGUCCUAAUAUUGACUAUUUGA